GGCAACAUGGCCGAGUGGUUAAGGCGCUAGAUCCAGGAUGCGAUUGCGUAACCUUCUAGUUCGAAAGAGCGUGGGUUCGAGUCCCACUGUUGUCA